UAAGUCCCGUAACGAGCGCAACCCUUGUCCUUAGUUACCAGCACCUCGGGUGGGCACUCUAAGGAGACUGCCGGUGACAAACCGGAGGAAGGUGGGGAUGACGUCAAGUCAUCAUGGCCCUUACGGCCAGGGCUACACACGUGCUACAAUGGUCGGUACAAAGGGUUGCCAAGCCGCGAGGUGGAGCUAAUCCCAUAAAACCGAUCGUAGUCCGGAUCGCAGUCUGCAACUCGACUGCGUGAAGUCGGAAUCGCUAGUAAUCGUGAAUCAGAAUGUCACGGUGAAUACGUUCCCGGGCCUUGUACACACCGCCCGUCACACCAUGGGAGUGGGUUGCUCCAGAAGUAGCUAGUCUAACCGCAAGGGGGACGGUUACCACGGAGUGAUUCAUGACUGGGGUGAAGUCGUAACAAGGUAGCCGUAGGGGAACCUGCGGCUGGAUCACCUCCUUA
rnacentral:rRNA from 1 species